rnacentral:rRNA from 1 species
ACAUGCAGUCGAACGCUGAAGCACUCUGCUUGCAGAGUGUGGAUGAGUGGCGAACGGGUGAGUAACACGUGGAGAACCUGCCCAUAAGAGGGGGAUAACAUCCGGAAACGGGUGCUAAUACCGCAUAGGUAUCCGACACGCAUGUGUCGGCUAUGAAAGACGGCUUCGGCUGUCGCUUAUGGAUGGCUCCGCGGCGUAUUAGCUAGUUGGUGAGGUAAUGGCUCACCAAGGCAGUGAUACGUAGCCGACCUGAGAGGGCGAUCGGCCACACUGGGACUGAGACACGGCCCAGACUCCUACGGGAGGCAGCAGUAGGGAAUCUUCCACAAUGGGCGCGAGCCUGAUGGAGCAAUGCCGCGUGAAUGAAGAAGGUCUUCGGAUCGUAAAGUUCUGUUAUCGGAGAAGAACACGUCGAGUAGUAACUGGCUCGACCUUGACGGUAUCCGACCAGAAAGUCACGGCUAACUACGUGCCAGCAGCCGCGGUAAUACGUAGGUGACAAGCGUUGUCCGGAUUUAUUGGGCGUAAAGCGAGCGCAGGCGGUCUUUUAAGUCUGAUGUGAAAGCCCACGGCUCAACCGUGGAUGGUCAUUGGAAACUGGAGGACUUGAAUGCAGAAGAGGUAAGUGGAAUUCCAUGUUAGCGGUGAAAUGCGUAGAUAUAUGGAGGAACACCAGUGGCGAAGGCGACUUACUGGUCUGUUAUUGACGCUGAGGCUCGAAAGCGUGGGGAGCGAACAGGAUUAGAUACCCUGGUAGUCCACGCCGUAAACGAUGAGUGCUAAGUGUUGGAGGGUUUCCGCCCUUCAGUGCUGGAGCUAACGCAUUAAGCACUCCGCCUGGGGAGUACGGCCGCAAGGCUGAACUCAAGGAAUUGACGGGGACCCGCACAGCGGUGGAGCAUGUGGUUUAUUCGAGCACGC